UCUCUCCGGAGAGGGGCGGUUUCUCUGUCUUCUAACCCUAAUGCGGUGCUUCGGCAGAAGCUCUCCACUGCGUACGCUCACUGUUUUUCUAGCUAACUUUCAGUGAGCAGGGAGAGCGAAGUCCAGUUUCACGACAACGGAGAAAAAAUGUUAGCUGGGGAACGUCCCUUUCCCGAGAGCCCGCGCCGUCCUUUUUCUUCCUCGGGCCCGUUGGCAUAGCCCCUGGCCUCCUCGCUCUAUAGGCCGCGGUCAGCUCGGGCCCCAGCUCCGGCAGGGGUUCCACUGCUGCCGCGAAGAGUUCGCCUCUGUCAGCCUUGAGGUGGCCGGGAUAGAAUAGGCGGGCUCGCGGCAGCGCGCGGGAAAGAGCAAAUGGUGAACUGGGUGCCUGUUGGGGUCGCGUCCCUGAAGAGUGGGAAGUGCGAUCUGUGUUCCUGUUCAGACACAC
rnacentral:telomerase_RNA from 15 species